GAGCUCCGGUCAGCUGACACAUCCUGGCCAAUCUCCAGCAGACCCUCCCUCCCAUCUCCUGGACAGCAUCCAUGUGGAAGGCAGCUUCAACAUGGAUGCUGUCCAGGAGAUGGGAGGGUCUGGGAGGGAGGGUCUGCUGGAGAUUGGCCGGGAUGUGUCAGCU